UUCCAGUUUAUGAUGUAGCAAGACGAGACACAUUUACAAAUCUUGCGGAUAUAAGGGCUAAGGAAAUCGAUCUCUACUCAACUAAUCAAGAUUGCAUCAAGAUGCUUGUUGGAAACAAAGUUGAUAAGGAAAGUGGAAGGGAUGUCAUGAAGAAAGAGGGAAUUGAUUUUGCUCGGGAGUAUGGAUGUCUUUUCCUUGAAUGUAGUGCAAAAACUCGAAUUAAUGUACAACAGUGUUUUGAAGAGCUUGUUUUAAAGGAAUUGUAAUUAGAUUCUUCUCAGCAUGUUCGCGCUGCUUCCUCCUAGGCUAUUCUGAAUCAACCAACAAUCAGAGUUGUAGCUAUAAUAGCUGAAGGUUGUAAAGAAGCCUCCACCUACUCUAAUGGAGAACACAUAAUCAAAAGUGAAAAAUAAGCAAGAGGAACCCAAAGCCAGUGAGAUGAAAGCGGCUGGGG